AGUUAGAAGUCAACCCCCGUACCCGACUUGUUGCAUUCCCCUAGGGUCAUACUUUCAUCACUUCCAUACUCUUUUAAUCACAUUUUUCUUAUAUUUCGCAAUCCAUAUUUUUCACUACAUCUUUAUCAUUUAUUUACUUUACUUCACAAAUGAAAUUCAAGUUUCACUUAUAUAUGUACUACUCUAUCUUCAUUCAUUUGCACACACAAACACUUUGAUUUUCAUACAAAUUCACACAUGCA
rnacentral:lncRNA from 1 species